GUGACGGUACNUGCANAAGAAGCACCGGCUAACUAUGUGCCANCNGCCGCGGUAAUACAUAGGGUGCAAGCGUUGUCCGGAAUUAUUGGGCGUAAAGAGCUCGUAGGUGGUUCGUCACGUCGGAUGUGAAAAUCUGGGGCUNAACCCCNGACCUGCAUUCGAUACGGGCGAGCUAGAGUGUGGUAGGGGAGACUGGAAUUCCUGGUGUAGCGGUGGAAUGCGCAGAUAUCAGGAGGAACACCAAUGGCGAAGGCAGGUCUCUGGGCCAUUACUGACACUGAGGAGCGAAAGCGUGGGGAGCGAACAGGAUUAGAUACCCUGGUAGUCCACGCCGUAAACGGUGGGCACUAGUUGUGGGAACCUUCCACGGUUUCUGCGACGCAGCUAACGCAUUAAGNGCCCCGCCUGGGGAGUACGAUCGCAAGAUUAAAACUCAAANGAAUUGACG
rnacentral:rRNA from 1 species